rnacentral:rRNA from 1 species
CCUACGGGAGGCAGCAGUGAGGAAUAUUGGUCAAUGGACGCAAGUCUGAACCAGCCAUGCCGCGUGCAGGAUGACGGCUCUAUGAGUUGUAAACUGCUUUUGUACGAGGGUAAACCCCGAUACGUGUAUCGGGUUGAAAGUAUCGUAUGAAUAAGGAUCGGCUAACUCCGUGCCAGCAGCCGCGGUAAUACGGAGGAUCCGAGCGUUAUCCGGAUUUAUUGGGUUUAAAGGGUGCGUAGGUGGUUUGAUAAGUUAGAGGUGAAAUGUUGGGGCUCAACCCCGAAACUGCAUGUAAUACUGUUAGACUAGAGAAUAGUUGCGGUAGGCGGAAUGUAUGGUGUAGCGGUGAAAUGCUUAGAGAUCAUACAGAACACCGAUUGCGAAGGCAGCUUACCAAACUAUAUCUGACGUUGAGGCACGAAAGCGUGGGUAGCAAACAGGAUUAGAUACCCCAGUAGUC